AUUGAUUUUAUGCUUGCAUAAAUAAUUUUUGGAUUCGGAGCGAGUGGCGAACUGGUGAGUAACACGUGGGUAACCUGCCCCGAAGCGGGGGAUAACAUUUGGAAACAAAUGCUAAUACCGCAUAAUUAGUCAGAACCGCAUGGUUCCGACUUAAAAGAUGGCUCUGCUAUCACUUCGGGAUGGACCCGCGCCGUAUUAGUUAGUUGGUGAGAUAAAAGCCCACCAAGACGAUGAUACGUAGCCGACCUGAGAGGGUAAUCGGCCACAUUGGGACUGAGACACGGCCCAGACUCCUACGGGAGGCAGCAGUAGGGAAUCUUCCACAAUGGACGAAAGUCUGAUGGAGCAACGCCGCGUGAGUGAUGAAGGGUUUCGGCUCGUAAAACUCUGUUGUUAAAGAAGAACAAGCAUGAGAGUAACUGUUCAUGCUUUGACGGUAUUUAACCAGAAAGCCACGGCUAACUACGUGCCAGCAGCCGCGGUAAUACGUAGGUGGCAAGCGUUGUCCGGAUUUAUUGGGCGUAAAGCGAGCGCAGGCGGUUUUGUAAGUCUGCUGUGAAAGCCCUCAGCUCAACUGAGGAAGUGCAGUGGAAACUACAAAACUUGAGUACAGAAGAGGAAAGUGGAACUCCAUGUGUAGCGGUGAAAUGCGUAGAUAUAUGGAAGAACACCAGUGGCGAAGGCGGCUUUCUGGUCUGUUACUGACGCUGAGGCUCGAAAGCAUGGGUAGCGAACAGGAUUAGAUACCCUGGUAGUCCAUGCCGUAAACGAUGAAUACUAGGUGUUGGAGGGUUUCCGCCCUUCAGUGCCGCAGCUAACGCAUUAAGUAUUCCGCCUGGGGAGUACGACCGCAAGGUUGAAACUCAAAGGAAUUGACGGGGGCCCGCACAAGUGGUGGAGCAUGUGGUUUAAUUCGAUGCUACGCGAAGAACCUUACCAGCUCUUGACAUCUUCUGCCGACCUAAGAGAUUAGGCGUUCCCUUCGGGGACAGAAUGACAGGUGGUGCAUGGUUGUCGUCAGCUCGUGUCGUGAGAUGUUGGGUUAAGUCCCGCAACGAGCGCAACCCUUAUUAUUAGUUGCCAGCAUUUAGUUGGGCACUCUAGUGAGACUGCCGGUGAUAAA
rnacentral:rRNA from 1 species